rnacentral:misc_RNA from 1 species
UGCGCAUCACCUCUUGCUUGUCUAGAUCAGCCCGGACGUUGGCAUGUGUAGCGUAUUUUGUCGGGUUUCGAGAUCAAGAAUCGAUGUCCCUUUGUUGGUUGGUUUUCCGAGAAUCCUUGACCCUUGAUUUGUUACUUUCGCAUCGUUYGGUGCAUGUUUUCCGAGAAUCCUUGACCCUUGAUUUGUUGCUUUCGCAUCGUUCGGUGCAUGUUUUCCGAGAAUCCUUGACCCUUGAUUUGUUACUUUCGCAUCGUUCGGUGCAUUCUGGGGGAUGUUUUGGCUUUUGGUGGCUUACUUGGCCUUUUGGCUGGGUUUGUUGCUAUUGGUCGGGCGGCUUUCGGGAAUGUCGACCGUGGAGGUGCAUGAGUGGUGUUUGGUUUGUUACGUGUGGAUGGCUGUUUGCUUGCGCAACAACGUUCACGCUGCAUACCUCUUCAGUUUUGCGGCAAGGCUUGGUUUGGCUUGUGCAUAUUGUGGGUUUCCUGUGUUGCAUACCUAGUUGAAGGAAAAGUGUGGGUUUUACGAUUUUCAUUUUCGUCUUGCGUCGUUCUUUCGGCAUGGGAUGAGCAAUGAAGCGAUCUUUAUGAUCCAUCGUGCUGUUGUGUUUGCAACAAUGAUGUGGCCUAUGAAGCAUCGUUUGGUCUCUUGUAUACGGAAGCUCAUUUGGGCUUGGGUCUUCAUAAGAUCUUCGUUAUGCCCUUGUUAAGCAUUCUCGCUUCUCCUAAACGAUUG